UCCUCCUGGCAAUGGGCAAAGAGACACCUUGCUGGUGGUGCUCUUCUCUCAGUCAGGGGCAGAGCAGAUGGCGGUCCUUUGUUCAUCCUAGCUUGAUGCCUGGCUUGGUGGCCAAAGCUGUCUUAUGUCUAGGACUCAUAA
ensembl:snoRNA LOC120094476 small nucleolar RNA SNORA48